UACAGAGGUCUCAAGCGUUGUUCGGAUUCAUUGGGCGUAAAGGGUGCGUAGGUGGCAUGGUAAGUCGGAUGUGAAAUCCCGGGGCUCAACCCCGGAACUGCAUUCGAUACUGCUGCGCUAGAGUACUGGAGAGGAGAUUGGAAUUUACGGUGUAGCAGUGAAAUGCGUAGAUAUCGUAAGGAAGACCAGUGGCGAAGGCGGAUCUCUGGACAGUUACUGACACUGAGGCGCGAAGGCCAGGGGAGCAAACGGG
rnacentral:rRNA from 1 species